AACAUUAUGUCUGAUUUAAGUAAUAAAUUGUAAAUUUAUUUAAGAAAUUUUUAUUUCUAAUGUUU
rnacentral:tRNA from 1 species